CAUAGAUAAUGUUGAGAAUAUACAGAUUUUUGUUAGGGUUGAGAAGCAAAGACAAAGAACCAAACCCAUGUUGACAAGAACAGACAACGGACAAGCUCAUCAUUCUUAUCUACUAUUUGCAUACUUCUGAAUGCUUAUCUGUAUAAUAGUGAAUACAAUGAUCAAUUAUUCACUGGCAUUUACAACUUCAAUAACUACUUAAGCCUUACAAGAGUUCCGAAGAGAAGAAGUCCUAUUGAAGACCCUGGUGUAUAUAUCUCCUCCUCAACUUCCAUCUGGUCAUCUCUUAAAAGAGAGCAAGAAAUGGUUAUGGUGAUGCCAUGGAGCAUGGCUUUGUACAUAAUUAAGGUCGUGUGCAAGGGACUCAAUGGAUGGAUCUCUUUUACAUGGAUGGUGGCUGAUCACAUAGCUCAUGGUCUCAGGACUGGGGUUAUGACGUCUAUAGCUCUGCUUCCUCUAAUUCCAUAGCGCUUUGGUUUCGUAUCAUAUUCUUUAAGUGAGGUUCUUUUUUUUUAAUUUAAAUUUGAACUUCCAUUGUCAUUUCUUUAAUUUGGUUGGUCGAGUAGAAUUUGGCUUGAUCCUUGAGGUAUAACUUGUA